rnacentral:tRNA from 1 species
GAGGGCUUAGCUUAAUUAAAGUGUCUGAUUUGCAUUCAGUUGAUGUAAGAUAUAGUCUUGCAGUCCUUA